AGCAGCUUGCAGCAGGACCUGCAGCUGCAUGUCUAUCUGCUCUAAUCAGCCACACAAAACCACGCAUUAGUAUGCCCUGCAAUGCUGCAUAGCCUUUGCCUCUGCCAUGUGUUAAUUGCACCAAUCAGCCUUCAUAUCAGCCUUUAUUGCCAGCAGUACACACAAAUGCAUGGUCUACCAACCUGACUUCUUCGCCACAUCGGAAGCCACAUAACAAACUAUUGACGCUACCCCUAAUAUGAGAAGUUUACAGAACAUUCAGGCCAUAUACCACCUGAAUGGAAAACACUAUCUCAAACACUCCCAAUUGAUUUGCAGAAUGCUUAAGAGAAAAGGAAAAAUCAGCUGUAUUGUGGGCACCCGACCAAAACUGAGAGACCCACAAUUCAAUGCUAGUAGAGGUAAUGUAUGUUCUCACCCACUAAAAAAGAAGAUAUGGGAAGUAGUCAGGAGAACUUACUCCAAAAUUAAAGAUGCAUUCUAAUCUAUGUUUUAAUAAGAAAGACCUAGUCUACAAAGUAAGGAAGUCGAUCAGUGACGAAAUAUGCCAGUCUCUGAAAGGCUGGUGGUAGGAAGUAUAUUAAUAUCACUUUUCAAUACGUAGUGCGGAAAAGAUGCUGCAAUCUUAGAGAACUUUGUGGAUAAGGAUAGAGCUUACCAAUUUCUGACUGGUCUUAAUGCAAAAUUUGAGCAGAUGCGAAUCCAAAUAUUAGGAAAAGAAGAAAUACCACCUCCAAACAAAGUGAUUUCCAUCAUUUUGGUGGAAGAGAGCAGGAGAAGGAUCAUGUUCAAAUCCGGCUUUACUGAAAGCUCAGCUAUGGUAACUAAGGCUGAACCAUGCUGACAGGCAAAACAGUCCUGUCAAUUCAAGACACUAAUAAUAGGUGGAGGUAGUAGAGACAAUUUAUGGUGUACUUUUGUAUAAAAAACUCAAACACACAAGUAAUGUUGGAAACUUCAUGGUAAGCCAAGUAUCCUCAAUAGAGAUUGGAGAUAUAAAAAUAUACUACAAAAGCCCCACAGACAAGAACAUAUGGUCAAUUGACAAUGGGAGGAGAAGAAGUCUAAUCUCAAUGAGUUCAAAACAAAAAUUGUACGCUAAGGACUCUGAUUGAGUCUUUGGAGAAACCCACAAGUAUAGGUUUAUUGGCACACUUAGGUAGUUUUCUAUCUCGUAUGGACUAAAUGUUUCAGAUAAACUCUUUGCACUAUCCUAUAUCAAGGGCUCAGAAGUCACCGAUCACGUGGCCAAUUCGUCUAAACCCUUACAUUUGUGUUCCAUGUCCAAUCAAUAAGAAGAUAGUUAUUGUUGAUGGUUAAUUUGACCAAUGUAGCAGGUGUUAGAAGUAUUAAAAUAAGUUCCUAUUUUACACUUAUGCAUGGGUUUCAUGUUCCCAAAUUGUGUACAAAGCUUAUUUUAC
rnacentral:lncRNA from 1 species